UACAGGGGGGCAAGCGUUGUUCGGAAUUCCUGGGCGUAAAGGGCUCGUAGGCGGCCAACUAAGUCACACGUGAAAUCCCCAGGCUUAACCUGGGAACUGCGUGUGAUACUGGAUGGCUUGAAUCCGGGAGAGGGAUGCAGAAUUCCAGGUGUAGCGGUGAAAUGCGUAGAUAUCUGGAGGAAUACCGGUGGCGAAGGCGGCAUCCUGGACCGGCAUUGACGCUGAUGAGCGAAAGCUAGGGGAGCAAACGGG
rnacentral:rRNA from 1 species